CUUAAUAAUCUCACCAAUACACCUAUUCUUGGUCUUUCCCAGAUGGGAAGCUGAGGCCUGUAGAGGGUCAGACACAGGCUUCAUGUUUUUAUCUUCUAUAUUUUAUGAUGUGUGACACCUUGGAGCCUUGCCACCAGGGAGACCUUCCCAUGCCAAUCGGUUCCUAGAGGUGGUUAUGGCUGUGUCUUCCCAUGAGAACCACUAGUUCCACCCUGCAUCUCCAGCCUCCUCUUUUACAGGAUUUAAGCCAAAGUUGUCCCUGUCUGAAAUCACCCAGGACCAGGAACUGGGGACACACCAACAUCACAGAAGCGCCAUCACUCAGCUCUUAGCCUGCUCAGUAUGGUCUCUACCUUACUGAUGGUACCAACAUGAGGUUUCUCCUCUGUCUCCUGCCCGGACCAUCGCUGUGAGACCAGUAAGGAAACAUCAAUCCAUCCCAGAUGAAGAUGGAGCCAGAAGACCAAAGGAGAAUUCCACCCAAGUCCAACUGUGAUUUCUCAAGUCCUGUAGUGACAAUUGAAAUCUUGGAGUGGCGACAAGGCCUUGAGUCUUAAGAACUCCCCUAAUCCCUCCACAAGAGAAUGUUAAUGGACACAGCCUCAUGAAGGUCUCAUGCAGGAGACUCCAGCCGCUCUGCUUCAAGAUGCCAAUGAUAACAUCCCACCUGGAGGAAACAGCCACGCUAAGUGUAUCAACCCAGGUUUCAACCCAUCCUGGAUGUGAAUUGCAAGAUGGCAGGGGAACUCAGACUGCUCACUGUGGCCAGCCGGGAUGCAGAUGCCUCUGAUUUCCUGCCCCAUGGGAUGACUGGCAUGAAUAUGAAUGGGAUCGUUCACUGGCACACCAACAACUUACCAGUGUUGAUGUCACUGAAGAAAAUGCUGCCUUCUCCCCCAGCAACGAUUAACUGCCAACAACUCCUAAGCACUGUCCUCCCUGGAAAGACACACUUACAGCCCCAGACUAGACUGAUCAUGGUAAUUCCACGUCCUUCCGUCUGGAGAGAGACUUCCUCUUGACCUUGGGACUCUUGAAGAAAGUGGGCUCACAUUACCUGCUGACUUAGCAGUUUGGCCAGAGGAGAGAAGAAGUUUGGGAAGAACAACAGUGUGAACCCCCAUUCUGCCCCAGCUACACCCCACGGUUUAGAACCUGUCCGGAGACGGCUCACCCACACCUGCCAUCGUACCUCACAUCAAGCUUGUAGCCACCAGCUCUCACUGCUCAGAGGAGUGGGGCAAGGAUGCAAAGAAGGGGGUGACCUCUUCCCUAAAGGCUGCAGUAGAAGGAGCUUGUGGGAGGGUGGUGCACCUAUAUGGUGGAGGAGCGGACCAGCCUUAACCUGGGCCAGACGUGGCCCCACCUCCAGGGAUGCUAGAUGGUAGAGGAAGAAGUAACAGAGUCUCCACUGCCAAUCUCAGUGUGGCCCAGAGAGGUUGAAGUCUGGACCAAGGC